rnacentral:tRNA from 2 species
AGGGUUGUAGUUAAUUAUAACGUUUGGGUUGCAUUCAAAAAGUAUUGACAAAUCAAUCAACCUUA